rnacentral:rRNA from 1 species
AGCAGGGAAGAAGCGAAAGUGACGGUACCUGCAGAAAAAGCGCCGGCUAACUACGUGCCAGCAGCCGCGGUAAUACGUAGGGCGCAAGCGUUAUCCGGAAUUAUUGGGCGUAAAGAGCUCGUAGGCGGUUUGUCGCGUCUGCUGUGAAAUCCCGAGGCUCAACCUCGGGCCUGCAGUGGGUACGGGCAGACUAGAGUGCGGUAGGGGAGAUUGGAAUUCCUGGUGUAGCGGUGGAAUGCGCAGAUAUCAGGAGGAACACCGAUGGCGAAGGCAGAUCUCUGGGCCGUAACUGACGCUGAGGAGCGAAAGGGUGGGGAGCAAACAGGCUUAGAUACCCUGGUAGUCCACCCCGUAAACGUUGGGAACUAGUUGUGGGGUCCAUUCCACGGAUUCCGUGACGCAGCUAACGCAUUAAGUUCCCCGCCUGGGGAGUACGGCCGCAAGGCUAAAACUCAAAGGAAUUGACGGGGACCCGCACAAGCGGCGGAGCAUGCGGAUUAAUUCGAUGCAACGCGAAGAACCUUACCAAGGCUUGACAUAUACGAGAACGGGCCAGAAAUGGUCAACUCUUUGGACACUCGUAAACAGGUGGUGCAUGGUUGUCGUCAGCUCGUGUCGUGAGAUGUUGGGUUAAGUCCCGCAACGAGCGCAACCCUCGUUCUAUGUUGCCAGCACGUAAUGGUGGGAACUCAUGGGAUACUGCCGGGGUCAACUCGGAGGAAGGUGGGGAUGACGUCAAA